rnacentral:rRNA from 1 species
GACGAACGCUGGCGGCGUGCUUAACACAUGCAAGUCGAACGGAAAGGCCCUGCUUUUGUGGGGUGCUCGAGUGGCGAACGGGUGAGUAACACGUGAGUAACCGGCCCUUGACUUUGGGAUAACUUCAGGAAACUGGGGCUAAUACCGGAUAGGAGCUCCUGCUGCAUGGUGGGGGUUGGAAAGUUUCGGCGGUUGGGGAUGGACUCGCGGCUUAUCAGCUUGUUGGUGGGGUAGUGGCCUACCAAGGCUUUGACGGGUAGCCGGCCUGAGAGGGUGACCGGCCACAUUGGGACUGAGGUACGGCCCAGACUCCUACGGGAGGCAGCAGUGGGGAAUAUUGCACAAUGGGCGGAAGCCUGAUGCAGCAACGCCGCGUGCGGGAUGACGGCCUUCGGGUUGUAAACCGCUUUCGCCUGUGACGAAGCGUGAGUGACGGUAAUGGGUAAAGAAGCACCGGCUAACUACGUG